UGAGGAAUUUUCCGCAAUGGGCGCAAGCCUGACGGAGCAAUGCCGCGUGAAGGAAGAAGGCCCGUGGGUUGUAAACUUCUUUUCUUAGAGAAGAAUCCGAGAGGAGGACGGUAUUUGAGGAAUAAGCAUCGGCUAACCCUGUGCCAGCAGCCGCGGUAAUACAGAGGAUGCAAGCGUUAUCCGGAAUGAUUGGGCGUAAAGGGUCUGUAGGUGGUUUUGACAGUCUGCUGUUAAAUCUCAGGGCUCAACCCUGUUAAGGCAGCAUGAAACUACAAAUCUUGAGUACGGUAGGGGCAGAGGGAAUUCCCGGUGGAGUGGUGAAAUACGUAGAUCUCGGGAAGAACACCAAAGGCGAAAGCACUCUGCUGGGCCGAGACUGACACUGAGGGACGAAAGCUAGGGGAGCGAAAGG
rnacentral:rRNA from 1 species